UAAAUAUUCCUGAAUGACCGAUAGUGAAAUAGUACCGUGAGGGAAAGGUGAAAAGAACCCCGGGAGGGGAGUGAAAUAGAACAUGAAACCAUAAACUUACAAGCAGUAGGAGGACGACUUAACGUCUAACUUCGUGCCUGUUGAAGAAUGAGCCGGCGACUUAUAGUUAGUGGCAGGUUAAAACAGUGAAUGUUGAAGCCAUAGUGAAAGCGAGCCUGAAUAGGGCGUUUGUCACUAAUUAUAGACCCGAACCCGGAUGAUCUAACCAUUGCCAGGUUGAAGCUUAGGUAAUACUAAGUGGAGGACCCAACCGACUGAUGUUGAAAAAUCAGCGGAUGAGCUGUGGUUAGGGGUGAAAUGCCAAUCGAAUUCGGAGCUAGCUGGUUCUCCCCGAAAUGUGUUUAGGCGCAGCGGUAAAUGUUAUAAUUUAGGGGUAAAGCACUGUUACGAUGCGGGCUGGUAAUUCGGUACCAAAUCGUUGCAAACUAAGAAUACUAAAUGAAUAAUUUACCAGUAAGACUGUGGGGGAUAAGCUCCAUUGUCAAGAGGGAAACAGCCCAGAGCACCAGUUAAGGCCCCCAAAUAAUUACUAAGUGGCAAAGGAGGUGGGAGUGCAUAGACAAUCAGGAGGUUUGCUUAGAAGCAGCAACCCUUUAAAGAGUGCGUAAUAGCUCACUGAUCGAGUAAACCUGCGCCGAAAAUGACAGGGACUAAGUAAUUUGCCGAAGCUGUGCGAUAUACAAGUUAUAUCGGUAGGGGAGCGUUCUGUUGUAGAUUGAAGUAUUAGCGAAAGCGGAUAUGGACGAAGCAGAAGUGAGAAUGUCGGCUUGAGUAACGAAAAUAUAGGUGAGAAUCCUAUACCCCGAAAACCCAAGGUUUCCUUCGGAAGGCUCGUCCGCGAAGGGUUAGUCAGGGCCUAAGGCGAGGCUGAAAAGCGUAGUCGAUGGAUAACGGGUUAAUAUUCCCGUACCAUUUUUUAUUUGAUAACGAGGGACGGAGAAGGCUAAGCUGGCCGGAUGUUGGUUACCGGUUUAAACGUUCGAGAUGUUGAGAAGUGGCGAAAACACUUUGAGUUGAGGCGUGAAUACGAGAUACUAAGGUAUUGAAGCAGUGUAUGUCAGACUUCCAAGAAAAGCUCGCAAUGUCUUUAAAUAAAAAAUGCCUGUACCAUAACCGACACAGGUGGGUAGGUAGAGUAUACUAAGGGGCGCGAGAUAACUCUCUCUAAGGAACUCGGCAAAAUAACUCCGUAACUUCGGAAGAAGGAGUGCCUUAUUAUGUAAGGCUGCAAUAACAAGAUCCAAGCAACUGUUUAUCAAAAACACAGGUCUCCGCUAAGUCGUAAGACGAAGUAUGGGGGCUGACGCCUGCCCAGUGCCAGAAGGUUAAAGAAGUUGGUUAGGUUAAACGAAGCUAAUAACUGAAGCCCUGGUGAACGGCGGCCGUAACAAUAACGGUCCUAAGGUAGCGAAAUUCCUUGUCGGGUAAGUUCCGACCUGCACGAAUGGUGUAAUGAUUUGAGCGCUGUCUUGACGGGAGGCCUGGUGAAAUUGUAUUACCGGUGAAGAUACCGGUUACCUACAGUAGGACGGAAAGACCCCAUGGAGCUUUACUGUAGCUUGGUAUUGGGUUUUGGCAUUGCAUGUAUAGGAUAGUUGGGAAACUAUGAAGGUGUGGCGCUAGCUGCACUGGAGUUGUCGGUGGAAUACCAACCAUUCAAUGUUGAAAUUCUAAUCUGUGGUUUGGAGCCACGGAGACAGUGCUAGGUGGGCAGUUUGACUGGGGCGGUCGCCUCCGAAAGAGUAACGGAGGCGUUCAAAGGUUCUCUCAGGUUGGAUGGAAAUCAACCGCAGAGUGCAAUGGCAUAAGAGAGCUUGACUGCGAGACUGACGGGUCGAGCAGGUGCGAAAGCAGGACAUAGUGAUCCGGCGAUUCCGAAUGGAAGGAUCGUCGCUCAACGGAUAAAAGCUACCCUGGGGAUAACAGGCUGAUCCUACCCGAGAGUCCAUAUCGACGGUAGGGUUUGGCACCUCGAUGUCGGCUCAUCGCAUCCUGGGGCUGUAGUCGGUCCCAAGGGUUGGGCUGUUCGCCCAUUAAAGCGGUACGUGAGCUGGGUUCAGAACGUCGUGAGACAGUUCGGUCCCUAUCCACUGUAGGCGUUAGAAUAUUGAGAAGAUCUGUCCUUAGUACGAGAGGACCGGGAUGGACAAACCUCUGAUGUACCAGUUGUCACGCCAGUGGCACAGCUGGGUAGUCACGUUUGGAACAGAUAACCGCUGAAAGCAUCUAAGCGGGAAGCCGGCCCAAAGAUGAGUCAUCCCUGACUUUUAAAGUCCGGAAGGGUUGUUAUAGACGAUGACGUUGAUAGGCAGGAUGUGGAAGCGUUGUAAGGCGUUAAGCUAACCUGUACUAAUUGCCCGA
rnacentral:rRNA from 12 species